GAUGAACGCUGGCGGCGUGCUUAACACAUGCAAGUCGAACGAAGCGCUUUGGAAGCUUGCUUUCAAAGUGACUGAGUGGCGGACGGGUGAGUAACGCGUGGGUAACCUGCCUUAUACAGGGGGAUAACAGUUGGAAACGACUGCUAAUACCGCAUAAGCGCACAGUGCUGCAUGGCACUGUGUGAAAAACUCCGGUGGUAUAAGAUGGACUCGCGUCUGAUUAGCUGGUUGGUGAGGUAACGGCUCACCAAGGCGACGAUCAGUAGCCGGCUUGAGAGAGUGAUCGGCCACAUUGGGACUGAGACACGGCCCAAACUCCUACGGGAGGCAGCAGGGGGGAAUAUUGCACAAUGGGGGAAACCCUGAUGCAGCAACGCCGCGUGAGUGAAGAAGUAUUUCGGUAUGUAAAGCUCUAUCAGCAGGGAAGAUAAUGACGGUACCUGACUAAGAAGCCCCGGCUAACUACGUGCCAGCAGCCGCUGUAACAC
rnacentral:rRNA from 1 species